rnacentral:rRNA from 1 species
GUUGGGAUGCUGUGAGUUUUAGUUUGCUUUUAUGUUAUUUUUUGUAAAAUAUUUUGAUUUUUUUUAGUUUCUUGUGGUAUCAAAAAUUUGUUUUUUGAACUGGAUUAGUACCCAGGUAAUCAAAAUUUAAUAAUUCGGGAGUAAAGUUUUAUUUAAACCGAAAAAAUAUUGACUGACUUUAGAUUUUUCUUUGGAAUAUGUGAUUUGCUGGAGAGCCCUCUUUUUUGGUGAAUUUUGUUGGCACAUGUAUGAUUGUUUAGUUUUUAUUUUAUUUUGUAAUGCUUUAUUGUUUUGGCAUUAAAAACAGAUAUAUAUUUGGCUUAUGAAUUUAUGUUUCAUGUGUUACUAUUAUAAAUUUUUUUUGGAUUAGUUUUUUAUUUUUUUUUGAAAUUGGAAAAGAAAGUAAUUUUUUCU